rnacentral:rRNA from 1 species
GCUCGAGUGGCGAACGGGUGAGUAACACGUGAGUAACCUGCCCUUGACUUUGGGAUAACUUCAGGAAACUGGGGCUAAUACCGGAUAGGAGCUCCUGCUGCAUGGUGGGGGUUGGAAAGUUUCGGCGGUUGGGGAUGGACUCGCGGCUUAUCAGCUUGUUGGUGGGGUAGUGGCUUACCAAGGCUUUGACGGGUAGCCGGCCUGAGAGGGUGACCGGCCACAUUGGGACUGAGACACGGCCCAG